GAUGAAGAACGCAGUGAAAUGCGAUACUUGGUGUGAAUUGCAGAAUCCCGUGAACCAUCGAGUCUUUGAACGCAAGUUGCGCCCGAAGCCAUUAGGCCGAGGGCACGCCUGCCUGGGCGUCACACGUCGUUGCCCCCCCAUCUACUCCUUCGGGAUUGCGGGGGGCGGAUGAUGGCCUCCCGUGCGCCUCGUCGCGCGGUUGGCAUAAAUGCCAAGUCCUCGGCGACACACGCCACGACAAUCGGUGGUUGCGAAACCUCGGUUGCCCGUCGUGUGCGGUCGUCGCGCAUCGAGGGCUCGAAAAAAUUGCCGGGCUCCGGCUCGGCUUUCAACGCGACCCCAGGUCAGGCGGGGUUACCCGCUGAAUUUAAGCAUAUCAAUAAGCGGAGGA
rnacentral:misc_RNA from 1 species